rnacentral:rRNA from 1 species
GUGCCAGCAGCCGCGGUAAUACGGAGGGUGCGAGCGUUAAUCGGAAUUACUGGGCGUAAAGCGCACGUAGGCGGUCAGGCAAGUCGGGUGUGAAAGCCCUGGGCUCAACCUGGGAAUUGCAUUCGAAACUAUCUGACUCGAGUAUGGGAGAGGGAAGCGGAAUUUCCGGUGUAGCGGUGAAAUGCGUAGAUAUCGGAAGGAACACCAGUGGCGAAGGCGGCUUCCUGGACUAAUACUGACGCUGAGGUGCGAAAGCGUGGGGAGCAAACAGGAUUAGAUACCCUAGUAGUCC